rnacentral:rRNA from 1 species
AGCUUGCUCCCGGAUGUUAGCGGCGGACGGGUGAGUAACACGUGGGUAACCUGCCUGUAAGACUGGGAUAACUCCGGGAAACCGGAGCUAAUACCGGAUAGUUCCUUGAACCGCAUGGUUCAAGGAUGAAAGACGGUUUCGGCUGUCACUUACAGAUGGACCCGCGGCGCAUUAGCUAGUUGGUGAGGUAACGGCUCACCAAGGCGACGAUGCGUAGCCGACCUGAGAGGGUGAUCGGCCACACUGGGACUGAGACACGGCCCAGACUCCUACGGGAGGCAGCAGUAGGGAAUCUUCCGCAAUGGACGAAAGUCUGACGGAGCAACGCCGCGUGAGUGAUGAAGGUUUUCGGAUCGUAAAGCUCUGUUGUUAGGGAAGAACAAGUGCAAGAGUAACUGCUUGCACCUUGACGGUACCUAACCAGAAAGCCACGGCUAACUACGUGCCAGCAGCCGCGGUAAUACGUAGGUGGCAAGCGUUGUCCGGAAUUAUUGGGCGUAAAGGGCUCGCAGGCGGUUUCUUAAGUCUGAUGUGAAAGCCCCCGGCUCAACCGGGGAGGGUCAUUGGAAACUGGGAAACUUGAGUGCAGAAGAGGAGAGUGGAAUUCCACGUGUAGCGGUGAAAUGCGUAGAGAUGUGGAGGAACACCAGUGGCGAAGGCGACUCUCUGGUCUGUAACUGACGCUGAGGAGCGAAAGCGUGGGGAGCGAACAGGAUUAGAUACCCUGGUAGUCCACGCCGUAAACGAUGAGUGCUAAGUGUUAGGGGGUUUCCGCCCCUUAGUGCUGCAGCUAACGCAUUAAGCACUCCGCCUGGGGAGUACGGUCGCAAGACUGAAACUCAAAGGAAUUGACGGGGGCCCGCACAAGCGGUGGAGCAUGUGGUUUAAUUCGAAGCAACGCGAAGAACCUUACCAGGUCUUGACAUCCUCUGACAACCCUAGAGAUAGGGCUUUCCCUUCGGGGACAGAGUGACAGGUGGUGCAUGGUUGUCGUCAGCUCGUGUCGUGAGAUGUUGGGUUAAGUCCCGCAACGAGCGCAACCCUUGAUCUUAGUUGCCAGCAUUCAGUUGGGCACUCUAAGGUGACUGCCGGUGACAAACCGGAGGAAGGUGGGGAUGACGUCAAAUCAUCAUGCCCCUUAUGACCUGGGCUACACACGUGCUACAAUGGACAGAACAAAGGGCUGCGAGACCGCAAGGUUUAGCCAAUCCCACAAAUCUGUUCUCAGUUCGGAUCGCAGUCUGCAACUCGACUGCGUGAAGCUGGAAUCGCUAGUAAUCGCGGAUCAGCAUGCCGCGGUGAAUACGUUCCC